UGGUCAUCAUCAAGCGGCAGUUCGAGUGUUGGAGGAUGUGGAGAGGAGGUAUCACAGCAAGGUCAAGGCUCUGUGUGCAUUUAGAAGACUAAAGGGAGACAUUGAUCUGAAGGUGUUUGCUGAUAUGCUAUUAGGCAACACUGACAACAGUGAACCUCCAUUCGCAUUCUGUGUACAUUUUUUAAGACAGGAAUCGCACUGUGCCCCUUUAAUUUUAUUGUUUGAAAUGAAUCGCAAUAUCACUGAAGAGGAAGUGGCACAGAGAGAUUACAUUGAAAAACAUUGGAUGGGCAGUGCUGAGGUGGAUGCUCUUCCGUUCCUAUACUAUAUGCAGUAUCUCACGUAUGAUGGACUCGGUGAACGUGACAAACAGCUUCAUGCUAUGGAAGUCUUCGAGGCUUAUAUAAAUAUAAGAAAUCAAUUCAACCUGCAUCACCCAGAGACUUCACUCAACUUGCUGGGGCAUUGUUACGAAAUGGAAGGAGACUAUGCAGGAGCGUUACAUUACUACGAGUGGUCGUUGCGUUGUCGUCGUACAAACAACGCCGCUAACUGGCACGUCCUGCGUAUUAUGCGUCUCAUAAGUGGUUAAAAGAACAAUAUAACAAUGUAACGACAUUAAACAAAUAACUAUAAACCUAUGUUAAAUAUAAGAUAUUUGUGACCAGUUAGUUAGUCUCGAUUAUGUAAUUUAAUAAUAUGUACAUGUAUUAUAAACUGUAAGAAGAGGCAAUGUAUUUGUAUGUUUCAAAAUAUUAACAUGGCUACAUUGUACACUCUGAAUUGGUGUGUUGAAAACUCUCUUAUUUCUGUCAAAUACGCAUGAUGAUGUGUAAAUUGUUAUAUGCACGUGCUCUUAUAUUUUUUGUUAUGAAUCUUUUGGACGCACUUUAGAAUCAGAAGUUAUAAUCAACCACUACGUCUAUACAUAUAAUUCAUAUAUUUACCUCCACGUGGAAUAUAUACGUGUGUCCAGAAAUGUCAAUAAGCCAUUUUACGGUUCAAAUUGUAAAUAAAUCGUUUUACAAAUGAAUAAAAAAUAAAGAUAUACGCUACAUACAAUCUUCCUCAAUUGCGCAGGAAUUGGAUGGAGAAUAUAAAGAUUUGAUACAUAAAUGUGUUACUGCAUUGAAUAAUGAACAUAUAUGAAUAGAGCUUGUUUGCUAUGAAUACAUUUGUAAAUUUAAA